rnacentral:rRNA from 1 species
CGGAAUCAUUGGGCGUAAAGCGCACGUAGGCGGUCUGUUAUGUCGGAUGUGAAAGCCCUUGGCUUAACUGAGGAAGUGCAUCCGAAACUGGCAGGCUAGAGUACUAAAGAGGGUCGCGGAAUUCCCGGUGUAGAGGUGAAAUUCGUAGAUAUCGGGAGGAACACCGGUGGCGAAGGCGGCGACCUGGGUAGAUACUGACGCUGAGGUGCGAAAGCGUGGGGAGCAAACAGG